rnacentral:rRNA from 1 species
AUUGAACGCUGGCGGCAUGCCUAACACAUGCAAGUCGAACGGAGAUAGGGGCAACCUUAUUUCAGUGGCGGACGGGUGAGGAAUGCGUCGGAAUCUGCCCUAUGGUGGGGGAUAACACAGGGAAACUUGUGCUAAUACCGCAUAAUGUCGAGAGACCAAAGCAGGGGACCGCAAGGCCUUGCGCGAUAGGAUGAGCCGACGCCCGAUUAGCUUGUUGGUAGGGUAAUGGCCUACCAGGGCGACGAUCGGUAGCUGGUCUGAGAGGAUGAUCAGCCACACUGGGACUGAGACACGGCCCAGACUCCUACGGGAGGCAGCAGUGGGGAAUCUUAGACAAUGGGGGAAACCCUGAUCUAGCCAUGCCGCGUGGACGAUGAAGGCCUUAGGGUUGUAAAGUCCUUUCAGCUGGGAAGAUAAUGACGGUACCAGCAGAAGAAGCCCCGGNUAACUCCGUGCCAGCAGCCGCGGUAAUGUCGAUAUCGC